rnacentral:rRNA from 1 species
GACGAACGCUGGCGGCGUGCUUAACACAUGCAAGUCGAACGGAAAGGCCCUGCUUUUGUGGGGUGCUCGAGUGGCGAACGGGUGAGUAACACGUGAGUAACCUGCCCUUGACUUUGGGAUAACUUCAGGAAACUGGGGCUAAUACCGGAUAGGAGCUCCUGCUGCAUGGUGGGGGUUGGAAAGUUUCGGCGGUUGGGGAUGGACUCGCGGCUUAUCAGCUUGUUGGUGGGGUAGUGGCUUACCAAGGCUUUGACGGGUAGCCGGCCUGAGAGGGUGACCGGCCACAUUGGGACUGAGAUACGGCCCAGACUCCUACGGGAGGCAGCAGUGGGGAAUAUUGCACAAUGGGCGGAAGCCUGAUGCAGCAACGCCGCGUGCGGGAUGACGGCCUUCGGGUUGUAAACCGCUUUCGCCUGUGACGAAGCGUGAGUGACGGUAAUGGGUAAAGAAGCACCGGCUAACUACGUGCCAGCAGCCGCGGUGAUACGUAGGGUGCGAGCGUUGUCCGGAUUUAUUGGGCGUAAAGGGCUCGUAGGUGGUUGAUCGCGUCGGAAGUGUAAUCUUGGGGCUUAACCCUGAGCGUGCUUUCGAUACGGGUUGACUUGAGGAAGGUAGGGGAGAAUGGAGUUCCUGGUGGAGCGGUGGAAUGCGCAGAUAUCAGGAGGAACACCAGUGGCGAAGGCGGUUCUCUGGGCCUUUCCUGACGCUGAGGAGCGAAAGCGUGGGGAGCGAACAGGCUUAGAUACCCUGGUAGUCCACGCUGUAAACGGUGGGUACUAGGUGUGGGGUCCAUUCCACGGGUUCCGUGCCGUAGCUAACGCUUUAAGUACCCCGCCUGGGGAGUACGGCCGCAAGGCUAAAACUCAAAGGAAUUGACGGGGCCCCGCACAAGCGGCGGAGCAUGCGGAUUAAUUCGAUGCAACGCGUAGAACCUUACCUGGGUUUGACAUGGAUCGGGAGUGCUCAGAGAUGGGUGUGCCUCUUUUGGGGUCGGUUCACAGGUGGUGCAUGGCUGUCGUCAGCUCGUGUCGUGAGAUGUUGGGUUAAGUCCCGCAACGAGCGCAACCCUUGUUCACUGUUGCCAGCACGUUAUGGUGGGGACUCAGUGGAGACCGCCGGGGUCAACUCGGAGGAAGGUGGGGAUGACGUCAAGUCAUCAUGCCCCUUAUGUCCAGGGCUUCACGCAUGCUACAAUGGCUGGUACAGAGAGUGGCGAGCCUGUGAGGGUGAGCGAAUCUCGGAAAGCCGGUCUCAGUUCGGAUUGGGGUCUGCAACCCGACCUCAUGAAGUCGGAGUCGCUAGUAAUCGCAGAUCAGCAACGCUGCGGUGAAUACGUUCCCGGG